GGGAUAUAGUUUAAUGGUAGAACUACGGUCUCCAAAACCGUCAGUGUGGGUUCAACUCCUACUAUCCUGCCA
rnacentral:tRNA from 1 species